GCCGCGGUAAUUCCAGCUCCAAUAGCGUAUAUUAACGUUGUUGCAGUUAAAAAGCUCGUAGUUGAAGUGAGGGAGUGUGUGGGUAUGAGAGCUAGUCUCGAGUGUUCACAACCUCCCCCCUCCAAUCGGUGUAGUGGGGUAUUCACUUAUUCCACUACUCCUUUGGUCGUUUACUGUGAGAAAAUUAGAGUGUUCAAAGCGGGCGUUUGUUUGAAUAGAUUAGCAUGGAAUAAUGAUUGAAGGCUUUCGUGUUCGAUUUGAUUGGUUUGUUCAUGGAAGCAAGGUUAAAAGGAACAGUUGGGGGUAUUCAUAUUCACUAGUUAGAGGUGAAAUUCUCGGAUUUAUGGAAGAUGAACAGGUGCGAAAGCAUUUACCAAGGAUGUUGUCAUUAAUCAAGAACGAAAG
rnacentral:rRNA from 1 species